UACAGAGGUCUCAAGCGUUGUUCGGAUUCAUUGGGCGUAAAGGGUGCGUAGGCGGCGCGGUAAGUCGGGUGUGAAAUCUCGGAGCUUAACUCCGAAACUGCAUUCGAUACUGCCGUGCUUGAGGACUGGAGAGGAGACUGGAAUUUACGGUGUAGCGGUGAAAUGCGUAGAUAUCGUAAGGAAGACCAGUGGCGAAGGCGGGUCUCUGGACAGUUCCUGACGCUGAGGCACGAAGGUCCAGGGGAGCAAACGGG
rnacentral:rRNA from 1 species